UACGAACCGUCCAAACGUUUAUUCGGAUUCAUUGGGCUUAAAGGGUACGUAGGCGGCGCUAUCAGUCGGGUGUGAAAGCCCUCGGCUCAACCGAGGAACUGCGCCCGAUACUGUAGUGCUUGAGGGAGACAGAGGUAAGCGGAACUGAUGGUGGAGCGGUGAAAUGCGUAGAUAUCAGGAGGAACACCGGUGGCGAAGGCGGAUCUCUGGGCCGAUACUGACGCUGAGGAGCGAAAGCGUGGGGAGCGAACAGGAUUAGAACGACCGAGUCAGUC
rnacentral:rRNA from 1 species